rnacentral:misc_RNA from 1 species
GGACUACUCGGGUUUCUAAUCCUGUUUGCUCCCCACGCUUUCGUGCAUGAGCGUCAGUGUUGACCCAGGGGGCUGCCUUCGCCAUCGGUGUUCCUCCACAUCUCUACGCAUUUCACUGCUACACGUGGAAUUCCACCCCCCUCUGCCACACUCAAGCCCGCUAGUUUCAAGCGCAAUUCCCAGGUUAAGCCCGGGGAUUUCACACCUGACUUGGCGAACCGCCUGCGCACGCUUUACGCCCAGUAAUUCCGAUUAACGCUCGCACCCUACGUAUUACCGCGGCGGCUGGCACUG